AUGUCCGAGAGACGGCAAUGGGGAUUGGCUUUGGGGCAGCGGAGGAAAUUUGGCUUCAGCUCUAUCCCUGCGGCGGAUCGAAUCCCCGGGGGCUGCGGGACAGGAGGAGCCAACCCAGGCCUUUUUGGUAUUAUUUUUCAUGGUCUUUUUAAAAUUGUACUUUUGAAUUAUUUUUCUUUCAUUUUUCCUUUCCUUUCCUUUCCUUUCCUUUCCUUUCCUUUCCUUUCCUUUCCUUUCCUUUCCUUUCCUUUCCUUUCCGUUCCGUUCCGUUCCGUUCCGUUCCGUUCCGUUCCGUUCCCUUCCGUUUCCCUUCCGUUUCCCUUCCGUUUCCCUUCCGUUUCCCUUCCGUUUCCCUUCCCUUCCCUUCCCUUCCCUUCCCUUCCCUUCCCUUCCCUUCCCUUCCCUUCCCUUCCCUUCCCUUCCCUUCCCUUCCCUUCCCUUCCCUUCCCUUCCCUUCCCUUCCCUUCCCUUCCCUUCCCUUCCCUUCCCUUCCCUUUUCCCUAUCACAUUUCACGUUACUUCCCUUCUUUCAUGUUAUUUUCCUCUAUUUCGCCCAUUUCCAUCAUUUUCCUUCCUCUUCCUUCUCCCUCCCUCACAUUUUCCCCCUUCUCUCCCUCCUCCGCACCCGCGGAGCGGUGCGGAUCGCGGGGCUGCGGGCGGGAGGAGCCGUCGGGGCCGCCCGUCUGUCUGUGUGGGCGGGGGCGGCCCCGCAAAGUGAAGGUCAAAGUGAAGGCUCCGUCCGCCCCUCCGCGCCGCUCCGCCGCAACGCCACGGCCGCCUCAGAGCCGCUCUUUGCUUCGGACCCCCCCACAGCCGCCCCCUCCCCUCCAUAUCCACCACGGGGGGAGGAGGGGGAGCAGAGAGCAAGAUGCAAACGCGUCUGCCGUGGAGGAAAUUAAACGUCAUAAAGAAAAGCCCAAUUAAGGUUUAAUGUCUGAACAUGACCAUUUCCUCCAGAAAACAAUGAAGUUCGCUCGCCAUACGCGGUCACAGCAAAACCCUCCAACCCCAAACGACGGAGUAAUGCCAAGAGGACUUCUGAUGCUGCACGGGACCGUGCGGAGCCGCGGUGCCACGAAACAAAUCCAUUCCUGAGGGGGUUUUUUUGCCCCCAUCCCUCCUCUUCUCCAACUCCAAACGAGAGACAGAAGUGCCGUUGCACACGUGGGUGUCCUCCGGGGGUAAAGGG
rnacentral:lncRNA from 7 species